ensembl:ncRNA 2RSSE.4 ncRNA
AAAAAGUUGUUAACUAACAUAAUGUAGAAAAUUGCAUGUAAAUUAUUUUAUUAGUUGACAAAUAUUUUAUAU